rnacentral:rRNA from 1 species
ACUCCUACGGGAGGCAGCAGUGGGGAAUAUUGCACAAUGGGCGCAAGCCUGAUGCAGCCAUGCCGCGUGUAUGAAGAAGGCCUUCGGGUUGUAAAGUACUUUCAGCAGUGAGGAAGGUGGAUAUGUUAAUAGCAUAUUCAUUUGACGUUAGCUGCAGAAGAAGCACCGGCUAACUCCGUGCCAGCAGCCGCGGUAAUACGGAGGGUGCGAGCGUUAAUCGGAAUUACUGGGCGUAAAGCGCAUGCAGGUGGUUUGUUAAGUCAGAUGUGAAAGCCCGGGGCUCAACCUCGGAAUUGCAUUUGAAACGUGGCAAACUAGAGUACUGGUAGAGGGGGGUAGAAUUUCAGGUGUAGCGGUGAAAUGCGUAGAGAUCUGAAGGAAUAACCGGUGGCGAAGGCGGCCCCCCUGGACAGAUACUGACACUCAGAUGCGAAAGCGUGGGGAGCAAACAGGAUUAGAUACCCUGGUAGGCUACUG